UGGGCGCAAGCCUGAUGCAGCAACGCCGCGUGAGCGAUGAAGGCCUUCGGGUCGUAAAGCUCUGUCCUCAAGGAAGAAUAAAUGACGGUACUUGAGGAGGAAGCCCCCGGCUAACUACGUGCCAGCAGCCGCGGUAAUACGUAGGGGGCAAGCGUUAUCCGGAAUCACUGGGCGUAAAGGGGUGCGUAGGCGGUUUUUCAAGUCAGAAGUGAAAGGCUAUGGCUCAACCAUAGUAAGCUUUUGAAACUGUUAAACUUGAGUGCAGGAGAGGAAAGUGGAAUUCCUAGUGUAGAGGUGAAAUUCGUAGAUAUUAGGAGGAACACCAGUGGCGAAGGCGACUUUCUGGACUGUAACUGACGCUGAGGCACGAAAGCGUGGGGAGCGAACAGGAUUAGAUACCCUGGUAG
rnacentral:rRNA from 1 species